UUAAGAUUUACAAGAAAAACUGCAGAAAAUAUCAAUACUGCUCAAUUAUUUGCUUACAGCUAUACAGGGUUUAUAACCAGCACAUGGAGCAACGGAGGAACUGAUUUGACUGUCCUUGGGAGAUGGAUUUGGCCUGAAUGGCACCAGAAUGGCUUCUGGAGAGGAGCACCUUUUCAAAGUGCAAUCAGUGAUUAUUGGUCCUUGGCCCAGACUGAUGGGAUCUGUCUGGUGGAGAAUUCUCUUGACUCUGUAAAGUUCGUAUUGCUCAUAACUCCAGAGAACAGGAAACCCCACUUCCUACUUUUCCCUUGUGCUCAGGCCAGACAGCUGUGCUGUUUGUUAAAAGGGACAUCUGUGGGUCUUCUCGUGCUGGGCUGAGGACACAAAAGGAGGAAGCAGUAGAAGAAGAAGCAGCUGGUUAUUACUAAUAACCAUUGCUCAUACUUAAGGCGGUCGCACUCCUGACGAGAAGCGCAGCGCAGUGUCACGUUGCACCGCGCCACGUCUUUAAAAUUCUAACACAUCGUUUUCUAUGAGUGUAUGUACACCGGCAGCGCGGUUUGGCAUCUGUCUGCAGUGCCCAGCUAUGUCGUGUGAAAGAGACGAAGAAGAGAAGAAGGCACGGUGCUGAGCUUCUCGUCUGGUGUGCAACCGCCUUUAGAGUUAGGGAUCAACAAACCAGAUCCCACUUUAUAUUGUCCCUAAUACCUGUACACUUACAUAGUAACUAGAUGGGUACAAAGUAUGUAACUACAGUGUAAGUACACAUUGGUACAUAGUAUCUACAGCUCUAAUGUUUGUGUAACUAAACAUAUGUAACAACCCACUGAAUAGUAUGUGUAAGUACCAAUGUGUUACAGGACACUGGUAACAACACUUUUUGGUAAUGAAAGGACAAAUGUGUAACAGGACUAACAGCACUUUUUGAACUUUACAUAUCCCUAAACCUACCCACCUCCACCCCCUGGAUCCCAUAUCCCCCCCUAAACCUACCCAUUUUACCCUCCCGAGAAUCAGAGAAAAAGUCUUGUUGAGGAUUUCGAUCGGUUCCGAGAUUGGCACGGAUUAUCUGGUAAUGUGAGGCGUUUACAGAUCAAUUCUUAUACCUCCCAAUCUGCUCACACACAAAUCGGGGCUGCACCGGAUUAAUAUCAAACAUGUUUGAUAUUUAGGAUUUUAAAUCAGUAUGAUGCGGCUAUGAUUACAUCAUUAUUUUCACAAUAGCCAAUACGUGAAUGCAAAACAAGCUGUUGCACGGGUUCGUUGGAUAGAGGAGAUGGAGACACUGCUUGUGGAAGUUUUGCAAUAACAUGACUGUCUGUAUAAUGUGUUGAAAACGUACCACAACUGUAAGGACAAAAAGUGCAAAAGCUGCUAGCAUGCUAGCUAAAUUAAGUAAACAAUGCUGAAACAUCAAUGACAGUCUGCUGUGUGAGAUCACAUGAGGUGCUCCCUCUGGCGUGAUAAUCUUAAUAAAAUCUUGUACAGCCUAUGGCCUGCAUGGCACAUACAGUCAUGGCCAAAAGUUUUGGCAGUGACAUGAAUUUUUGUGUUUGCAAAGUUUACUGCUUCAGUAUUUGUUCAGUAUUAGUUAUUUUCCCACAUGUUUCUAUGGUAUACUUAAAAACAAUGAUAAGCAUAUCAUAAGUUUUAAAGGCUUUUAUUGGCAAAAAAAAAUUUAUGAGUCAAUUGUAACAUAGUUCAUAGAUAUAGGAAGAAGGAGGUGGGAACUGGUGAACAUUUAAAGAUUUUAAUAAUAAAAUAAACAAACACAAAAUAGUGAGACAGCCCCUCACAGUGACUGCCGCUCACAAACAGAACCAAAACACAAAAUAAAGUCCAGGCCUGGUCCUCUCUCAUCUUGCACUGUUGUCACUCCUCCUUUGAUCCUUCCAGAGCUCCUCCCUGGGACUCGAGACCGGUGAGUGGCGCAGGUGUCGUGCAUUAUCACUUACUACAUAUAUAUAUAUAUAUGAGACAAUAUUUACAGUGCUUACCCUUGUUCUUCAUAACCUCUGCAAUUCGCUGUCAAAU
rnacentral:lncRNA from 1 species